GGACUCUUUUAUUUGCUGCUGCGAUGCGCGUCGAACGGCAGCACGGGGCAACCUGGUGGCGAGUGGCGAACGGGUGAGUAAUACAUCGGAACGUGCCCAUGUCGUGGGGGAUAACGUAGCGAAAGCUACGCUAAUACCGCAUACGAUCUACGGAUGAAAGCGGGGGAUCGCAAGACCUCGCGCGAUUGGAGCGGCCGAUGGCAGAUUAGGUAGUUGGUGGGGUAAAGGCCCACCAAGCCUGCGAUCUGUAGCUGGUCUGAGAGGACGACCAGCCACACUGGGACUGAGACACGGCCCAGACUCCUACGGGAGGCAGCAGUGGGGAAUUUUGGACAAUGGGCGAAAGCCUGAUCCAGCCAUUCCGCGUGCAGGAUGAAGGCCCUCGGGUUGUAAACUGCUUUUGUACGGAACGAAAAGGCCUUGGUUAAUACCUGGGGCUCAUGACGGUACCGUAAGAAUAAGCACCGGCUAACUACGUGCCAGCAGCCGCGGUAAUACGUAGGGUGCGAGCGUUAAUCGGAAUUACUGGGCGUAAAGCGUGCGCAGGCGGUGAUGUAAGACAGAGGUGAAAUCCCCGGGCUCAACCUGGGAACUGCCUUUGUGACUGCAUCGCUGGAGUGCGGCAGAGGGGGAUGGAAUUCCGCGUGUAG
rnacentral:rRNA from 1 species